rnacentral:rRNA from 1 species
UUGGAGGGCAAGUCUGGUGCCAGCAGCCGCGGUAAUUCCAGCUCCAAUAGCGUAUAUUAAAGUUGUUGCAGUUAAAAAGCUCGUAGUUGAAUUUCGGGAUCAAUAUGUUGGUCGUGCCUUGGUACGUACUAGUUUAUUGGUUUCUUCCUUCUGACGAACCAUGAUGUCAUUAAUUUGGUGUCUUGGGGAAUCAGGACUGUUACUUUGAAAAAAUUAGAGUGUUUAAAGCAGGCUCACGCUUGAAUACAUUAGCAUGGAAUAAUGAAAUAGGACGUUUGAUUCUAUUUUGUUGGUCUCUAGGAUCGACGUAAUGAUUAAUAGGGAUAGUUGGGGGCAUUAGUAUUCAAUUGUCAGAGGUGAAAUUCUUGGAUUUAUUGAAGACUAACUACUGCGAAAGCAUUUGCCAAGGAUGUUUUCAUUAAUCAAGAACGAAAGUUAGGGGAUCGAAGACGAUCAGAUACCGUCGUAGUCUUAACCAUAAACUAUGCCGACUAGGGAUCGGAUGAUGUUAAUUUUUUAAUGACUCAUUCGGCGCCUUACGGGAAAC